AUCGAACCGCUUCGAGUGACGACUUGAUAACGACUGAGUCUGGCGGUUGGAAAAUAAUUUUCAAACGAGAAUACAGCUACAUACAUAUUAUCUACUGCACCCAUGGGGAUCGCUGGAAACGGGACUGCUUGGGCCAAGGCCUUGGCCUUCCAGGACACACUGCUUGCUAAGCAGUACAGUACAUCCUCUCCCCUUGCCCAAUGAUGCUGUUGCUGCUGUAAGUUUAACAGUGCCUUAACAGUGUUCUCUUAUCAUUCUAACAGUGUCGCUAAGUAAACACUUUCUGUUAUUGUUGUUGGCCCUAACGGGACAAAACAAAUUUCUGCAAAGAUGAGCAGCAGCAGCAGCAUGGAAGAGCAAGCGAGCGAGCGAGCAUUAACCCUUGAAUGGAACACAAACUUCAACACAAAUACAAAUCCCGAGAAGUGGAUGUGAAAAUGUUCUGGAUCUAGACCACUAUGUUUUGCUCCAGGACAGCGGAAGAGAAGGGCGCAGGAGCAGGAGCAGGCAGGCAGCAGCAGGGGAAGUAGCAGUACAGGCGGCAGGCGGCAGAGGAGCAGGACGCAGCAGCAGAAGAAAUAACUUUAUAUAAAUUGUAAAUGGCAAAAAGCAGCAAAACCGAAUGACACAAGGGACACAAAAAAGGGAGUGGAGCAGGGCUUCAGCAGGGCUCCAGCAGAGCUGGGGCUCGAGCUGAAUGCCUCGCCUUAGCUUUUGGGGCUGGGGGCAUGGAUUCAGGAUUUAGAUAUCCAAUCAGAGUAUGCAAGCAUUUGAUAGACAUUUUUGGAGAGAGAGAGAGAGAAAACACACACACACACACACACACACACACACGCAAAUUUAAACAGAUAGGUGGGGAGAGAGAGAAUGCGAAGGUCUACGAAAGUAAUGUAGGAGUGGAAGUCAUGUGUGAAGUGAAGAACGAAGGGCCGAGAGGGCGACUCAAUAGGCUCAGCUUAUAGGAAUAAGGAGAGAGGGGAUCCGAAGGGCCCCAGCUUAUGUGGGAGUGUGUAGAGGUGGACAGUCAAAGGGCUGAGAGUCAUGUGGGCCAGUCGAGGGGGUGAUGUAAAUAUCAAGAAGUACAAAUCGAUUAAAGACAACGCUUCGAAGUGUUAGUGCGUGCGUGUGUGUGUGCAAGAAAAAGUGAGCUGCGAAUUAAAGAUGGUCAGGAAGAGAAUAAGAGAGAAUGGGUGGAGAGGGGGGGACGGGGGAAAAAGCAAACAGAAGAGAGAGCGCUCGCGCAUGAGCGGGGAACGGGGGCUGUUUGCAUAGGUCCUGGUUGUCCCUUUUUUUGCUAAGCGCUUUACAGUUACAGCUUAUGGGCUGCUUAGCCAGCAGGCGGGAGAGUGGAGACUGGGAGAUGGUGGCCCCUCCCGAAGCUAUUACUGCGCUCCUCUUUCUCUCUCUCUUUCUCCUCUCUCUCUUUCACUGUUUGAUUGUUUUUUUGGAGCAAAUAAUUCAGCAAACACAAUUCAGAGCUGAAAGGGAGAGGGUGGGGCGGGAACGAACUAAUCUUGAGAGGCGGGAACGAACCAGGCUGCAGAGACCGAGAGACAGAGAGAGAGAAAGAGAAGAAGAAAACGCUGGGUGGAGAGAAGGACACUGAAAAGGGCGCCACUUUUAACUGUGGUGAGGUAGGAAUGUUUGUGUGUGUGUGUGUUACACACAUGCAUAAGUAACGUACACAUGUAUGCAAGAUAUUUCCCGGGUCAGCCCCCAACAAAAAGAAAAGGUGGGUGGGGGGGAGGUAUUCGGGCGGACUUGUAAAAUUCUGAUGAAGCCAGGCACAACAAGAUAAAUGGCUCAAUGUAACAGUAACGACACAGGGUGUCAUCGUAUCAAGUAACUGUAAUGCAAGUCGCGUUAUAAAACGAAAUAAUAAGUUUACUGCUAUACUUGCAAAGUGGCGCACAAAAGUCUACAUACAAAAUAUGUAUUAUUUUAAAAAAUAAUAUAGCGCGGAAUCUUUGUAUCUUCAAUCCAUGCUUGUUAGGACUUUCA